GACGUAGGGUGCAAGCGUUGUCCGGAUUUAUUGGGCGUAAAGAGCUCGUAGGCGGCUUGUUGCGUCGACUGUGAAAACCCGCGGCUUAACCGCGGGCUUGCAGUCGAUACGGGCAGGCUAGAGUUCGGUAGGGGAGACUGGAAUUCCUGGUGUAGCGGUGAAAUGCGCAGAUAUCAGGAGGAACACCGGUGGCGAAGGCGGGUCC
rnacentral:rRNA from 1 species